CUCCUUUCAUUUUGCCUCUUGGAUUGUCAUGAACUUCCUGAGCAAGGAGGCCAUCCACCAUGCAGUGUAAUGUCUUGCUAAGAGAAAUUAGUAUUCAGUCUGCUCAAGUUCCAGCAAGGACUUUCUUCAUGAAGAUCUUCAAGUGGAAUCGAGCAGCCUUGCCCAUAAAGUCUUUCCUGUGGCUCCACUGAGAAAUUCGAUUAAGUAUUCCAAUACUGCUGUGAAACGAAGUGAUCUGAUUCAGGUGAGUCAAUUUAUCUUGCAAGAUGAAGAAAUUACCUCAGAGAAGUCAAAUAAUUUACCCAGAGUCACAAAAUAAGCAAAUGACAGAAUAUUCAAAUCCAGGUCUUCUGACUGUACCUCUAUUGCAUUGUCUGCCUUAGAGGUUUCCGAAGUAUUGAUAAGAUGGAGGCUGGAAGAGCUUGAAACAGACCAUAUAAAGCCAGGUCUGGAAAAGCAAAGAGGCCCAAGGAACAGCACAGACCCUGACUGGUGGGGUAUCUGUGUAUUUU
rnacentral:lncRNA from 1 species